GCAAAUGGUGCCGUAAGUUCGGGAGAAGGCACGCUGGUGUGUAGGUGAGUCCCUGCGGAUGGAGCUGAGACCAGUCGAAGAUACCAGCUGGCUGCAACUGUUUAUUAAAAACACAGCACUGUGCAAACACGAAAGUGGACGUAUACGGUGUGACGCCUGCCCGGUGCCGGAAGGUUAAUUGAUGGGGUUAUCCGUAAGGAGAAGCUCUUGAUCGAAGCCCCGGUAAACGGCGGCCGUAACUAUAACGGUCCUAAGGUAGCGAAAUUCCUUGUCGGGUAAGUUCCGACCUGCACGAAUGGCGUAAUGAUGGCCAGGCUGUCUCCACCCGAGACUCAGUGAAAUUGAACUCGCUGUGAAGAUGCAGUGUACCCGCGGCAAGACGGAAAGACCCCGUGAACCUUUACUAUAGCUUGACACUGAACAUUGAGCCUUGAUGUGUAGGAUAGGUGGGAGGCUUUGAAGCGUGGACGCCAGUCUGCGUGGAGCCAACCUUGAAAUACCACCCUUUAAUGUUUGAUGUUCUAACGUUGGCCCCUUACCGGGGUUGCGGACAGUGUCUGGUGGGUAGUUUGACUGGGGCGGUCUCCUCCCAAAGCGUAACGGAGGAGCACGAAGGUUAGCUAAUCCUGGUCGGACAUCAGGAGGUUAGUGCAAUGGCAUAAGCUAGCUUGACUGCGAGCGUGACGGCGCGAGCAGGUGCGAAAGCAGGUCAUAGUGAUCCGGUGGUUCUGAAUGGAAGGGCCAUCGCUCAACGGAUAAAAGGUACUCCGGGGAUAACAGGCUGAUACCGCCCAAGAGUUCAUAUCGACGGCGGUGUUUGGCACCUCGAUGUCGGCUCAUCACAUCCUGGGGCUGAAGUAGGUCCCAAGGGUAUGGCUGUUCGCCAUUUAAAGUGGUACGCGAGCUGGGUUUAGAACGUCGUGAGACAGUUCGGUCCCUAUCUGCCGUGGGCGCUGGAGAAUUGAGGGGGGCUGCUCCUAGUACGAGAGGACCGGAGUGGACGCAUCACUGGUGUUCGGGUUGUCAUGCCAAUGGCACUGCCCGGUAGCUAAAUGCGGAAGAGAUAAGUGCUGAAAGCAUCUAAGCACGAAACUUGCCCCGAGAUGAGUUCUCCCUGAGACUUUAAGUCUCCUGAAGGAACGUUGAAGACGACGACGUUGAUAGGCCGGGUGUGUAAGCGCAGCGAUGCGUUGAGCUAACCGGUACUAAUGAACCGUGAGGCUUAACCUUACAACGCCGAAG
rnacentral:rRNA from 1 species